UAGGGAAUCUUCGGCAAUGGGGGCAACCCUGACCGAGCAACGCCGCGUGAGUGAAGAAGGUUUUCGGAUCGUAAAGCUCUGUUGUAAGAGAAGAACGUGUGUGAGAGUGGAAAGUUCACACAGUGACGGUAACUUACCAGAAAGGGACGGCUAACUACGUGCCAGCAGCCUUGGUAAUACGUAGGUCCCGAGCGUUGUCCGGAUUUAUUGGGCGUAAAGCGAGCGCAGGCGGUUUAAUAAGUCUGAAGUUAAAGGCAGUGGCUUAACCAUUGUUCGCUUUGGAAACUGUUAAACUUGAGUGCAGAAGGGGAGAGUGGAAUUCCAUGUGUAGCGGUGAAAUGCGUAGAUAUAUGGAGGAACACCGGUGGCGAAAGCGGCUCUCUGGUCUGUAACUGACGCUGAGGCUCGAAAGCGUGGGGAGCAAACAGG
rnacentral:rRNA from 1 species